GUUGCACAAGCUCCAUUAGAUCAUCAAUUGAGGCUUCUUCACUCUGUCGUUUUACAUACUCUUGAGAAAUUUCUCCAGCUAAGUUCCUAACGUAUUCAUGUCCCCAGGAACCAAUUUCACCUUGAGAGCCCACCAGUCUAUACUUCAAGCUCUCCCUUUCUCCUUCAGCAGACAUUGUCAGAGCCAAAACAGAAAGUAUAUCUGCCAUAAGUUUCUUCAAAUCUGAGUCUGGCAUCUUUUCAUAAAAUCCCUUCAGUGUUCCAUAGUGGGGACGCAAGAACUUCAAUGGUUUUGGAACUGAUGUCAUCGAGCUUGUUGAUGUACGUAUUUCCUGUCUCAUACUCUCAAGUGCAACCUUUUGUAGUCCUGGAUCAGCAUCUUGAGCCCUCUCCACAUACAGUUCCA
rnacentral:misc_RNA from 1 species